rnacentral:tRNA from 2 species
GCGGGGUGGAGCAGCCUGGUAGCUCGUCGGGCUCAUAACCCGAAGGUCGUCGGUUCAAAUCCGGCCCCCGCAACCAC